GCCUUUCAUCGUUCCUCACUGCAUCGCCCGAUACACCAGCCAGGUCCCCAAGCUAAACGUGCAGGAUCGGGUCCCACAUUGUUCGCGACUUCCCUUUUCUUUUGUUCGGUUUUCCGUGUGUGUUUGGGUUUGGCAUUGCGGGGUUUGCGUUGAGCUGAGCGUUUUCUAAAUUCGCUGGGUUUCCUUCUGCUUCGUUGUUGUUGUUUUGGAGUUUUUAGAUGCUCAGUUCUCAAGUUACCUCGGCGCAACACAUGGAGCGAGAGAAGGCGUAUUAUAUCGCGAGUUUACUUCUGCUGUCUGUCUUUAGUUGUGACAAUGUAAAUUGCUUUACAUUUUCUCGUUAUUAACAUGUGGGUUAGUGUAUCUCAGAUGGCUUCAUUGUUGAAGAUUCCAUUCUUGGACGAGGAGGUCGCGAACUAUGGCUCUUUCCAGCGCAAGAUGGGAUGCGUUGAUGUUUAUAAUCCACAGAAUGUUAGGAAAGACUCAGUCUUUGCUUGAACAGAUGUGUAUGACAAGCAAAGUUCACUCUGGUAACAGGUCUAUAUAUAACUUUUAUUUCCACUUAGUGGGAUAAUGAUUCUUUUGAGUUUGUUGUCAUCACUUUGGCUCAUACCUUUUACCUUUCUCUUUUUGCUAAUGUUAUCUGCUUCUGCUAAUUGAUAUGUCAUAGACUCAGAAUUUAAAACCACUCUGGCAGAUCAUGGACCGGGUCAUCUAUGCAAAGAAAAUUGGCAAGAUUUCCUUCCCUUUUCUAAGAUUUGAUGAAGUAGUAUAGGCCUCAGUGGCUUAUAUGGUUGUAACAAUAUAAGAUUCUUAGCUUUUGUCUGCACUUGAGCAUGUUUUCAAUAUACUAGAUAACUAGGAUAGCGACACUGCCAUGAAAAAGUGAUAAUCUCUACGUACAUUUUGGAACUUAGUAGAGAAAUUAUAUAGUAGAUACAAAAUAAAAAUUCCAAAUGAUUUUCUUGUUUCUAAUUUGGAGUACCAGGGAUGUUAAUUAGCUUAGAUGAUUAACAUGCCAUGUAAUGAAAACUGUCAUUAAAAAUUGUAGAUAGCUGGCAGGAUGGUGCAUUCUGUCAAUGUUAGGAACUUCUGACCGUCAACCUUAAAUCAUGUCUGAAGUUGAUUUUACAUGCAAAUGCUUGUUCUGAUUAUUUCUCAAUGAGCAUACUAUAUAGUUCUGCCCCCUGUACAGAAGAGUCUGUACCAGCUUAUGUUUUCGAGCAGAAGCAUCCAGUGUCAACGGCCCUAGCCUGUAGUCAGUCUACUGAAAUUGUUCUGUUGGGUGCAUAGUGCGUUGUUUUGUUUAAGGAUGUGUGGAGUUGACAAGGAGAUGGGUUGUUUUCAUUUUAUUUCUUGCUAUUCAAUGAUAUGUGGAGUUGGCUCCCAGCUAGAGCAAAGGUCUUGGGCAUUUUAUAAGUAAUCAAGGUUGCUAAAAUGACCUACAGAAUUCGUGGAAGCAUCCCUCUUUCCUCUGCAACUCCAUGUCACCUGCAUCUAUGAUUGCCGAGCUAUAUGAAUAAUCAACUUUACAUUUUUAUACAAUGGUUGCAAAAUGCAAUAUGAUUUUUAUGCUGAUAUUGAAAUCUGCAGCAUGUGCUUCUUUAUAUGACUUUCAACUUUGCUUUGCAGAUAGCUACAAGGAUAAAGAUUUGCCUAGUACUCCAUUGGAUAAUUUGUGGCGAGGAAGCUCUGAAAAUAUCACCCAUAGAGCCGUGCUGUUUGCACCGUCCUAUCCGAAGUGGUCAUUUUAACAUUGGGCCAUGCUAUUUCCACCCCGGUUUUUGCUUUAAAACUCCUUUUUACAGUGUUUUCCUAUACGGCCCCUGCUGUCCCUCUUUUGGUUUGACUGCUUCCUUUUCUUUCCUUGCUGGUCCCACCUUCUUCUUUCUUCUUCUCUUUGUUCUCUCUCUUUUCAACUCAUGGUGAUGUUGAUCUAAAGGAACCUAUGCCCGACUGCAGAUGCCGGCUUCACUACAUUAUAUUCCUUCUUUCAAAAGGAUCCAAUGCUCUGUAAUUGAUAUCCUGUUAAGGUGGUGCUUACUGACUGUAAUGCUUAGAUAUGCACCCUGCA